UGGGGAAUAUUGCACAAUGGGCGAAAGCCUGAUGCAGCAAUGCCGCGUAUGUGAAGAAGGCCUGCGGGUUGUAAAGCACUUUCGGUAGGGAAGAUAAUGACGGUACCUACAGAAGAAGCACCGGCUAACUCCGUGCCAGCAGCCGCGGUAAUACGGAGGGUGCGAGCGUUAAUCGGAAUUACUGGGCGUAAAGCGCGCGUAGGCGGCUUUGUAAGUCGGAUGUGAAAGCCCCGGGCUUAACCUGGGAAUUGCAUUCGAUACUGCAUAGCUAGAGUAUGGUAGAGGGUAGCGGAAUUCCGGGUGUAGCGGUGAAAUGCGUAGAUAUCCGGAGGAACACCAGUGGCGAAGGCGGCUACCUGGACCAAUACUGACGCUGAGGCGCGAAAGCGUGGGGAGCAAACAGGAUUAGAUACCCUCGUAGUCCCUGAGCGGGCUGGCAAGGCGCAU
rnacentral:rRNA from 1 species